rnacentral:rRNA from 1 species
GGGUUGUGAGGUUAAGCGACUAAGCGUACACGGUGGAUGCCCUGGCAGUCAGAGGCGAUGAAGGACGUGCUAAUCUGCGAUAAGCGUCGGUAAGGUGAUAUGAACCGUUAUAACCGGCGAUUUCCGAAUGGGGAAACCCAGUGUGAUUCGUCACACUAUCAUUAACUGAAUCCAUAGGUUAAUGAGGCGAACCGGGGGAACUGAAACAUCUAAGUACCCCGAGGAAAAGAAAUCAACCGAGAUUCCCCCAGUAGCGGCGAGCGAACGGGGAGCAGCCCAGAGCCUGAAUCAGUGUGUGUGUUAGUGGAAGCGUCUGGAAAGGCGCGCGAUACAGGGUGACAGCCCCGUACACAAAAAUGCACAUGCUGUGAGCUCGAUGAGUAGGGCGGGACACGUGGUAUCCUGUCUGAAUAUGGGGGGACCAUCCUCCAAGGCUAAAUACUCCUGACUGACCGAUAGUGAACCAGUACCGUGAGGGAAAGGCGAAAAGAACCCCGGCGAGGGGAGUGAAAAAGAACCUGAAACCGUGUACGUACAAGCAGUGGGAGCACGCUUAGGCGUGUGACUGCGUACCUUUUGUAUAAUGGGUCAGCGACUUAUAUUCUGUAGCAAGGUUAACCGAAUAGGGGAGCCGAAGGGAAACCGAGUCUUAACUGGGCGUUAAGUUGCAGGGUAUAGACCCGAAACCCGGUGAUCUAGCCAUGGGCAGGUUGAAGGUUGGGUAACACUAACUGGAGGACCGAACCGACUAAUGUUGAAAAAUUAGCGGAUGACUUGUGGCUGGGGGUGAAAGGCCAAUCAAACCGGGAGAUAGCUGGUUCUCCCCGAAAGCUAUUUAGGUAGCGCCUCGUGAAUUCAUCUCCGGGGGUAGAGCACUGUUUCGGCAAGGGGGUCAUCCCGACUUACCAACCCGAUGCAAACUGCGAAUACCGGAGAAUGUUAUCACGGGAGACACACGGCGGGUGCUAACGUCCGUCGUGAAGAGGGAAACAACCCAGACCGCCAGCUAAGGUCCCAAAGUCAUGGUUAAGUGGGAAACGAUGUGGGAAGGCCCAGACAGCCAGGAUGUUGGCUUAGAAGCAGCCAUCAUUUAAAGAAAGCGUAAUAGCUCACUGGUCGAGUCGGCCUGCGCGGAAGAUGUAACGGGGCUAAACCAUGCACCGAAGCUGCGGCAGCGACGCUUAUGCGUUGUUGGGUAGGGGAGCGUUCUGUAAGCCUGUGAAGGUGUACUGUGAGGUAUGCUGGAGGUAUCAGAAGUGCGAAUGCUGACAUAAGUAACGAUAAAGCGGGUGAAAAGCCCGCUCGCCGGAAGACCAAGGGUUCCUGUCCAACGUUAAUCGGGGCAGGGUGAGUCGACCCCUAAGGCGAGGCCGAAAGGCGUAGUCGAUGGGAAACAGGUUAAUAUUCCUGUACUUGGUGUUACUGCGAAGGGGGGACGGAGAAGGCUAUGUUGGCCGGGCGACGGUUGUCCCGGUUUAAGCGUGUAGGCUGGUUUUCCAGGCAAAUCCGGAAAAUCAAGGCUGAGGCGUGAUGACGAGGCACUACGGUGCUGAAGCAACAAAUGCCCUGCUUCCAGGAAAAGCCUCUAAGCAUCAGGUAACAUCAAAUCGUACCCCAAACCGACACAGGUGGUCAGGUAGAGAAUACCAAGGCGCUUGAGAGAACUCGGGUGAAGGAACUAGGCAAAAUGGUGCCGUAACUUCGGGAGAAGGCACGCUGAUAUGUAGGUGAAGUCCCUCGCGGAUGGAGCUGAAAUCAGUCGAAGAUACCAGCUGGCUGCAACUGUUUAUUAAAAACACAGCACUGUGCAAACACGAAAGUGGACGUAUACGGUGUGACGCCUGCCCGGUGCCGGAAGGUUAAUUGAUGGGGUUAGCGCAAGCGAAGCUCUUGAUCGAAGCCCCGGUAAACGGCGGCCGUAACUAUAACGGUCCUAAGGUAGCGAAAUUCCUUGUCGGGUAAGUUCCGACCUGCACGAAUGGCGUAAUGAUGGCCAGGCUGUCUCCACCCGAGACUCAGUGAAAUUGAACUCGCUGUGAAGAUGCAGUGUACCCGCGGCAAGACGGAAAGACCCCGUGAACCUUUACUAUAGCUUGACACUGAACAUUGAGCCUUGAUGUGUAGGAUAGGUGGGAGGCUUUGAAGUGUGGACGCCAGUCUGCAUGGAGCCGACCUUGAAAUACCACCCUUUAAUGUUUGAUGUUCUAACGUGGACCCGUAAUCCGGGUUGCGGACAGUGUCUGGUGGGUAGUUUGACUGGGGCGGUCUCCUCCUAAAGAGUAACGGAGGAGCACGAAGGUUGGCUAAUCCUGGUCGGACAUCAGGAGGUUAGUGCAAUGGCAUAAGCCAGCUUGACUGCGAGCGUGACGGCGCGAGCAGGUGCGAAAGCAGGUCAUAGUGAUCCGGUGGUUCUGAAUGGAAGGGCCAUCGCUCAACGGAUAAAAGGUACUCCGGGGAUAACAGGCUGAUACCGCCCAAGAGUUCAUAUCGACGGCGGUGUUUGGCACCUCGAUGUCGGCUCAUCACAUCCUGGGGCUGAAGUAGGUCCCAAGGGUAUGGCUGUUCGCCAUUUAAAGUGGUACGCGAGCUGGGUUUAGAACGUCGUGAGACAGUUCGGUCCCUAUCUGCCGUGGGCGCUGGAGAAUUGAGGGGGGCUGCUCCUAGUACGAGAGGACCGGAGUGGACGCAUCACUGGUGUUCGGGUUGUCAUGCCAAUGGCACUGCCCGGUAGCUAAAUGCGGAAGAGAUAAGUGCUGAAAGCAUCUAAGCACGAAACUUGCCCCGAGAUGAGUUCUCCCUGACUCCUUGAGAGUCCUGAAGGAACGUUGAAGACGACGACGUUGAUAGGCCGGGUGUGUAAGCGCAGCGAUGCGUUGAGCUAACCGGUACUAAUGAACCGUGAGGCUUAACCUUACAACGCCGAAGCUGUU